UACAGAGGUCUCAAGCGUUGUUCGGAUUCAUUGGGCGUAAAGGGUGCGUAGGCGGCGCGGUAAGUCGGGUGUGAAAUCUCGGGGCUUAACUCCGAAACUGCAUUCGAUACUGCCGUGCUUGAGGACUGGAGAGGAGACUGGAAUUUACGGUGUAGCGGUGAAAUGCGUAGAUAUCGUAAGGAAGACCAGUGGCGAAGGCGGGUCGUCUGGACA
rnacentral:rRNA from 1 species